rnacentral:lncRNA from 1 species
UACUCGGGAGGCUGAGGCAGGAGAAUGACGUGAACCCAGGAGGCCAAGCUUGCAGUGAGCUGAGAUCACACCACUGCACUCCAGCCUGGGGGACAGAGUGAGAAUCCAUCAAAAAAAAGAAACAAGAAUACAAUAGCACAAUUCAUGUGACAACCACAUGUAGGUUUAGUGAUGUUUGUUCUCUGUGAAGCUAAGCUAUCUCAGCUAGGUGGUUGAGGACAUUUGUACUGUCUGGACUAGGCAGAGGUGAAUAUGAUUGAAUGUGUAAGACAGUGCCAAUUAUGUACCAUAUAUAGCUGUGUGUGUUUCCUUCUGUCUAAAAUAUCAACCUAUGCUUGCCUUUAAUCUCAUCCUCAAUUGCAAUGCUCAAAACCCCUCCUAGUGUCAUUAUAUUGUCAAAAAAUACUCUGAAUCACAGGUUUAGAGAGAUAAAAAUUCUAACUUCUCUUAAAGAAACAACGUCUGAAAAUCUUUUCAUUUGUGUUGUUCCACAUGAAAUGACUUUAAGUGUUGAAUGUGCACAUUAUUCCUACAUUCUGAGACUUAGAUUUAUAGCUUAUGAGUUGUCCUUCUAAAGGUAUACUCUUCAUAUGCCAGUGACUCCCCAGCUUAUACAGCAGUUAUGCCUUAUUGGUGAGGGAUGCGUUCAAAGACUCCUUGUGGAUGCCUGAAACCUGUUACCAAACCCCAUAUAUCUCUAGUGCACAUCUAAAUCUGUGUUUAGACGAACAGAACCAGCUUUGUACCCGAUUAUCUUCACCAAGAUGUCUGACUUACGUAAAUCUCAAACUUGUCGUAUUUAACACAAAGUUCUUAAUUUCCUUCCUUUUUCAAGCCCACUUCUGCUGUGUUUUCUGUUUAAGUAAAUAACACUCAUCCAUUUAGUUAUGUCAAAAACCUAGGAAUUAUCCAUGACUUCUCUCUUACUCUUUCUGCACUUUAAAUGCAUCAGCUAGUACUGUCUUCAAGAAUGUAUCCUUUUUACCCAGUCCUCGCCAUCUCCUUUACUAUCCCCCUUGCCCAAGCCACUAUACUUUCAUCCUGCUGUGGAAGCAGUUUUCCAACCCUCCUUACUCUCCUUUUGACCACUUAAUAUACAUUCUUCACUAGCCAGAACAAUCUUUGAAAAAUGUAACCUACCAUAUGUCACUCCCCAUUUGAAAUGUUCCUAUUGGGAUUUUAAGAUGAUAUUAAAUACUCAUUUUCUCAGCUCUCAAGUCUGGAUUCAAUUGAGAGGCAGACAGAUUUGGGCAAAUGAGAUAAAAUAUUUGUUUUGUAUUGAUAAAUGGUUGGAUUGGCAGAUAUUGCCUUGUAUUGAGUAUGGUCGUAAAGACAUCACUAAUAUUUAACUUAUCUACCUAUUUAUUUUCCCUCACUUUGAAGUGUGGUUAGAAUUUGGAGGAAGCAAUUUCAUGAAGGUAGAAAUAAGAUUGCCCUCAUAAAAUAUGUUAUGUCCUCAUAAAAUAAAUAUUUAUAUAUUAUAUAUAAAAUAUAUAAAUUUAUUAUCUGAUCCUUCCCAAGAGAGAUUCCGCACCUCUGGUUGCCCUUAGGCUUAAUCAUUAAGCCAGAACCAUAAAGAGAACAAAAAACAUUACCUGUGCCCAACGUUUUAUGGCCUUUGUCACUCCUCAAGUAGUCUCUCCAAAGGAGGAAUGUCUGACGUGGUAAGUAAGUUUGAGAGGAAACUGGAUUUUGUUGGAUCCACCCCUUCUGAAGUCUCUUGUUGUCUUCCUCCCUCAAGAGAUGUCUGCCCUAUUUUCCACUUGUUUGGAAACUAUCUCCCCUGUCUGGUGUCCUUGCAGCUGUGCAUCUGUCAGUCUGUGCUGCUAAACUAUAAACCAGGUUCUUCCCAAAGUUAGUUCGGCUUACACCCAGGAAUGAGCAAGGACAGCUUGGAGGUUAAAAGCAAGAUACAGUCAGGUCUCACAUCGAGGUCACGCUGAUGAAAAAGGAACUACAGUACUGUUAUGUCAGUAACAUACAUCACAGUCGUACGUCUCCAGGCUUCUUAUCUUCCUUUGAACCUGACCUGGCUACUGUUUGGUGGAUUAUAGAGGAAAAGCUGUAAUGGGAAAGUAGGUUGGGUGAAGGGAUGAGAAAAAGGAAAGCAUCGUGGAGCACAUUAGCAGGCUUUCUCCAUGAAGAAGCAGGAUGAGUACCUUCUCACUGCCAAAGUAGUUGGAGGGACAUCAAACACCAGUGAUGGGAACACUGAACCUCACAUAAGGGGCAAUGCAGCAUCUCUGCCUUCUUCUGGGUAUUCCUCUUAAAUGGCUUGACAAUAACCACCAACCAGCACUGCCAUACAUGUGUCCUGUACCUAUCAGAGGCACUAGGGCAGUUUUGGAACAGAGAGCCCAUAGAAAGGCUACUGCUUAGAGAUAGCCAUUUUCUUCUUGGAGCUGGACCAGUGAAUUAGACGCAUGGAGGAGAGCUGGAAAAUCCCUUUUUGGAAGAGCUACACAAAACCAAAAUUUGGAAUUCGUAGCUAAUAACCAUAAAAAUUAAGAAAUGACUGUUGGAAGAGCACUGGAAAUCACCUGAUUAAGUUAAGAAAAACUAACUAGCUCAUGAGAAAAUUAUUUUCAGGCCAGCUGUAGCCUGUACCCUUUUGAAAAUCCCCUGACUAGUGAGUUCAUUUUUGUUGGAAUAUAGAAUUUUUCUUUUCUAAGCAGAUGUAAACUUGUCUUUCUGUGGUUGGCUUUGGAGCCCACAAGAUAAUUAAAUGGCAGUGCUAACUGAAAGCCUGGGCUGUGCUUAUAGGUUCAAGAGGCAGGUAGAAGACACUGGGUUGGGGAAGUAGGGCUAUGGAACUGUGGCUCUGGCUAAGAUUACUAAUGUCUGUGAGCGCUGGAAGAAGGGAAAUAGAAAUGAAAAAACAUGAAUAUGGUUGAUGGGCCAGACUGAGUGUUGAGGUCCUAUGAUGUAUCAAAGAAUGGCUUACAUGAAAGUUAUAAGGUGUGGAUGGAAAAGGUCAGUGUGGAAGAGAACAGAAUUACUAGCUUUAAAGCUCAGAGACAUCUGCUUUUCAGGAAAAAAAAAUACAAAAGUCUAUGAGUGAAGGAAGGAGACUAAGAGAAAGAAAGGUGAGGAAAAGAGGAAGAGAAUAAAAAGGAACAGAAAUGAGAAAAAUAUGACACAAGAAAAAAAGAAAAAUUAGGAGGAAGGAAAGAAGAAAGGAAGGCAGAGAGGGAGGAAAGGAAGGAAGGAGACAGGGAGGAGAAACAGAAAAAGAGAGAAUGAAAGAAGUGGAAAUCAAGAAAGAAACAACAUAAGAUUCUACAGAGAGGACUCAUUAUAGGCAAAAUAAGUAAAAGAAAUUUCUUUUGGCAUUGUCCUAUCUCCCUUGCAUUCUCAUCUACUAAGCCUUUUCUUCCCUGUGGGCAAUAUUAUUGGCAUGAGUAAACUCUCACCUUAAUAUUCCUAAUAACCAUAAGUUUGUCCUCUACUCCCUAAAACUACUGCCGUGUGUGCCAUGCUCCAAAGUAAUCUCUUAUUCUCACUUCGUAACCUUUCAUCUCAGCUGUGUGUCAGUUAAGAAGAAUUUCAUCAAACUAAGCCUCUUGGAUUUUAAAAGAAUGCUCUUGCCCAGUUAUAUCUUUAGUUGGCAUCAUUUCAGGUAUGAAAAGGCUCUGCUCUAUGUGCCCUUAUCAAUCCUGAAAGAGCUAUCUCCCCAAGCAAAAUGAGAAGGACAAUCAUAACUGGCUCAAGGCUAGUCCAAUCUGGCUCUGUCCUUAGAUCCAAAAAGUUGAAGUUGUAAGUGACCCUAGAAAUGAUCUAUUUCACACUUAUUGUCCAGACAAUGAAACUCCAGUGGAGAGUGGAUAGGACCCUUCUAGGGUCGCAUGAUUGCUAGUGGCAAAGCCAGGUCUGAAUCAUAUCACUGCUUAUGGAGAACUUGUUGCCCUCACCAUUGUCCUCAAAUUUCUCCUGUUGACAGCAGGAUCCCUCAGAGAAAAGAUAGCUCCAGCCAAAGAACUCAGUGUAGCCCCAUGAACUCUCCAAAUAAUCAUAAACACAGCUAUAGUAGACAAGAAAGGCUAUCUUCUCAUGACCCUUUCUGUGGUUAAAAUCCUGAAAAACUGGGCACUACGGCUAUAUUCCAAACAUUCUUGCAAAUAGUAUUUCCAGACACAGACAAUGAUUCUCAGAGAUUCUCACCAUAGACGGUGAGGCAGGCCGUUCCUGAGAUCUUCCCAAAACCAAAGGUAUUGAAGAGACACAUGUAAC